UACAGAGGGGGCAAGCGUUGUUCGGAAUUACUGGGCGUAAAGGGCUCGUAGGUGGCCAACUAAGUCAGACGUGAAAUCCCUCGGCUUAACCGGGGAACUGCAUCUGAUACUGGAUGGCUUGAGAUUGGGAGAGGGAUGCGGAAUUCCAGGUGUAGCGGUGAAAUGCGUAGAUAUCUGGAGGAACACCGGUGGCGAAGGCGGCAUCCUGGACCAACACUGACACUGAGGAGCGAAAGCCAGGGGAGCAAACGGG
rnacentral:rRNA from 1 species